rnacentral:rRNA from 1 species
GAUGAACGCUGGCGGCGUGCCUAAUACAUGCAAGUCGAGCGAACAGACGAGGAGCUUGCUCCUCUGACGUUAGCGGCGGACGGGUGUAUAACGCGUGGAUCACCUCCCUAUAAGACUGGGAUAACUACGGGACACCGGAUCUAAUACCGGAGAAUAUCUUGAAGCGCAUGGGGGGAUAGUGAGAUACGGUGUUGCGGUCACUUCUAGAUGGAUCCGCGCCGCAUUAGCUAGUUGGUACGGUCACGGGUUAUCAAGGCAACGAUGCGUAGCCGAACUGAGAGAGUGAUAGGCCACACUGGAACUGGAACACGGUCCAGGCUCCUACGGGAGGCCGCAGAAGGGAAUCUGCGGCAAUGGGCGAAAGCCUGACGGAGCGACGGCGCGUGAGUGAUGAAGGUCUUCGGAGCGUAAAACUCUGUUAUUAGGGAAGAACAGAUGUGGAAGGAACUAUGCACGGCUUGACGGUAACUAAUCAGGAAGCAACGGCUAACUACGUG